AAGAAGGGGACACUUGAUAAUAGAAGCAGCUCUUCUGGCUGGAGACUGCAGAUCCACAAUUGAUCCUAAAUGGGGAAAACAAUGAAGACAUCCAUUGGAGCUUUAAUCACAUUCUUGUGGCUGCAGCUGGACUGUGUCAGCCUGGGAAACGAGGUGGAGCAGAGUCCUUCUACCCUGAGUGUCCAGGAGGGAAACAGCUGUUUUAUCACCUGUACUUAUACAGAUGUUAUGUCAAACUACUUCCCUUGGUAUAAGCAAGAACCUGGAAAAGGUCCCCAGCUCCUUAUAGACAUUCGUUCAAAUAUGGGUAAAAAUGAAGGCCAGAGACUGACUGUUUUAUUGAAUAAGACAGCCAAACAUCUGUCCCUGCACAUCGCAACCACUGAACCCGGAGACUCAGCUGUCUACUUCUGUGCAGCAAGGACAGAGUGCUUCCCAGGCACCCGCUAUCUAUACUCAAACCUGCGACUGGGGCAGCUGCCUUCCUUUGGCACAACCUUCAAGUUAUAG